rnacentral:tmRNA from 1 species
GGGGUCGUUACGGAUUCGACAAGCGCUCUCUGCGCGUGAACUGCAACUGCUGCUGGCGCCAGCUAAAUCCGCCGCAGAACUAUAACUGCUAAAAACAAUACACAAACUUACGCAUUCGCUGCCUAAACACCAGCCUGCGUGACUUCCGGCAAAUCGCCCAUGUUUCUCGGAAGUCCUAAUCAAGUGGGAUAAGGCGCGCUGAUUGUUCUGUCAGCGCUCACGAAAACUUCUAGAACUCGCUGACAGCUUGCUUUGAGGCUUGCGUUUCCUGUCAGCUAAAUCCUGCAAGCCCUAUGGUUGUAGAGGUUUGCGACGCAACACGCCUGGACAGGGGUUCAAUUCCCCUCGGCUCCAAAU